UAGGGAAUCUUCCACAAUGGGCGAAAGCCUGAUGGAGCAACGCCGCGUGUGUGAUGAAGGGUUUCGGCUCGUAAAACACUGUUGUAAGAGAAGAAUGACAUUGAGAGUAACUGUUCAAUGUGUGACGGUAUCUUACCAGAAAGGAACGGCUAAAUACGUGCCAGCAGCCGCGGUAAUACGUAUGUUCCAAGCGUUAUCCGGAUUUAUUGGGCGUAAAGCGAGCGCAGACGGUUAUUUAAGUCUGAAGUGAAAGCCCUCAGCUCAACUGAGGAAUUGCUUUGGAAACUGGAUGACUUGAGUGCAGUAGAGGAAAGUGGAACUCCAUGUGUAGCGGUGAAAUGCGUAGAUAUAUGGAAGAACACCAGUGGCGAAGGCGGCUUUCUGGACUGUAACUGACGUUGAGGCUCGAAAGUGUGGGUAGCAAACAG
rnacentral:rRNA from 1 species